CAGACUGACCCCCAUGCUAUUAUUCUACAUCUCCAAGAUGCCAUCUCUGCCCACUCCCCCCCACCCCCCCUUAACUGAAAGCUCAUGUAUUUUUUUCAUUUGAAAAUUCUUCAGUGAAGGAACAGGAGCAUGGUUACCAUAGCAACUAUCAGGUAGCAUCUCCUUAUGUACUGAGAUGGGAAAGCCGACAAGCCCAGUGCUCUAUUCACUGUACCACCUCCAUGACCCACUCGCUCUUAUUCAAUCACUGCCUGAAUGUCACAACUACCAACGGGAAGCAUUGGUGAACAGUACUCGAACCAUUGACAGAUGAGAGGACUGAGGAAGAGAGAAAUUAAGUGAUUUACUCUGAGUGACACAACUAAUAAGUGUUUGAGGAAGGAUUUGACUAGUAAAAUUAGAACAAUAAUAUGGAAAUGCUAAAAAAAAAGCUGACCUCCAAUUAAAUGCAAAGACCAAUCUUUGUUCUGGAGUCCAGUUAGGAAAUACAUUUAUUGCCUCUCUAUUAUAGAUGUUGCUGUUGUUCGACCUUAGUUUUCAGAGAGGACCAAAGACAGCAGGAUGUUGUGAUGCUGUGACUUGCAAGUGAGGCAGAGUUGCAGAAGGUUAUCAGUCUAAUUCUGUCCCCUGGAGUCAUUGAAGUCUAGUGGCAAGGCAAAAGUCAGGACAAUUGGUGAUGGGAUGCAGUGGAUGACCUUGGUGUCGCUGAUGUCUGACCAAGCUCUAAGAGCUCCACAGCACCUGCUUCAGCCCCUCCCAUGAACUAUUCUCAUCUGUCCAUUCCAUUAGGGGAAGUCUUCACAUACUUAGGAUAGACACCUCCCUAACUCGCCAACAGGUCUGAGUCCUCUUGGUUACCCUCCACCUGGCUUAGUCCAUCUUCCAAGAGGGUUUUACCAGGGUGUGACUGCUUCUUGGAGCCCCAGGUGAGACUUGGUGACAGGUAGACACCAAAGAUGAAUGAGCAGCCCUGAAAGGGGCUACAAAGUCCUCACGCUAGAGGUGCUAGUUCUUUCUGGGCAGUUAAGUGGUAUCAUAGUGCUCAGAACACUGGCCCUCCCACAACACCCCAUACACUCUACUUGAGAAAGAGGAGACUAUGGGGAUAGA
rnacentral:lncRNA from 1 species